rnacentral:rRNA from 1 species
UACGGGGGGGCAAGCGUUGUUCGGAAUUACUGGGCGUAAAGCGCACGUAGGCGGCGAUUCAAGUCAGAGGUGAAAGCCCGGGGCUCAACCCCGGAACUGCCUUUGAAACUAGAUUGCUAGAAUCCUGGAGAGGUGAGUGGAAUUCCGAGUGUAGAGGUGAAAUUCGUAGAUAUUCGGAAGAACACCAGUGGCGAAGGCGACUCACUGGACAGGUAUUGACGCUGAGGUGCGAAAGCGUGGGGAGCAAACAGGG